AGUGCGUCCUUUCUCCCCUGACUUUUUAGCCGCCCUGGGUAAAUACUGAUCUGCCCCCAGUUUACCUUCUCACUAACUGGCCAUCCGCAGACUAAGGAACCAACCUCUGGGAAGACUUGAUUUUUGUGUUACUUUGGGGUCCUUUCCAUCCAUUUCCUCCACUCCUUCCUCUCUCUAAGUGGCAUUGUAAAACUCAAUAGCAACAAAGUAGGGUUCCAGGCUCCCGUUCUUGUCGACUUGAGGGCUUGAGGGCCGUUUACAUACAGGUCAGACACAGCCGGAGGCCAAGGUCAAGUUGAAAGUUGCUGUCUAGUCAGCGUGAGAAACUGCACUGAAAGCUGGAGACUAGGGCCACACGGAGGGAGGCCGGCUGCCUGCCCACCUCCCCUCA
ensembl:misc_RNA predicted gene, 27985